AUUGAACGCUGGCGGCAUGCUUUACACAUGCAAGUCGAACGGUAACAGGGUGCUUGCACCGCUGACGAGUGGCGAACGGGUGAGUAAUGCGUCGGAACGUGCCGAGUAGUGGGGGAUAACGCAGCGAAAGUUGUGCUAAUACCGCAUACGUACUGAGGUAGAAAGUGGGGGACCUUCGGGCCUCACGCUAUUCGAGCGGCCGACGUCUGAUUAGCUAGUAGGUGAGGUAAAGGCUCACCUAGGCGACGAUCAGUAGCGGGUCUGAGAGGAUGAUCCGCCAAACUGGGACUGAGACACGGCCCAGACGCCUGCGUGAGGCAGCAGUGGGGAAUUUUGGACAAUGGGCGAAAGCCUGAUCCAGCCAUGCCGCGUGUCUGAAGAAGGCCUUCGGGUUGUAAAGGACUUUUGUCAGGGAGGAAAUCCCUAGUGCUAAUAACACUGGGGGAUGACAGUACCUGAAGAAUAAGCACCGGCUAACUACGUGCCAGCCGCCGCAGUAA
rnacentral:rRNA from 1 species